GUGCCUUCAGUAGUUCAGCUCUGCUGGCUCUAGGCGCCUGUACUAGUGAGAUGUAUUGACGGUUUGCGCAAUAUAUUGAAGAAGACCACAGACCUCUACAAAUAUUACGCACGUUCAAUAUUUGGACCUUAGUACUACGCGAUACUCGUCAGUUCCUUCGGAGGUCGUAAUUUUCGGACUUGUAAACAACUGAAACGGAGACACUAUACGAAUAUGAAUAAAUCGGGAAAGACAGAUGAAAGAAUUCAUCUGCUGAAGUGCAUUCAGGUUUAUAGAUCACUUCCAGCAUUAUGGAAAGUGAAAUCUGAAGAAUAUAAGAACAAAAACAUUAAAAAUGAGUCCUACAAUAUCCUGCUGAAAGUUUAUCAAGAAAGGUAUCCAUCAGCUACGAAGGAGGAUUUAAAAAGGAAAUUUAAUUCGCUCCGAACAAAUUUUCGGAAGGAACUGAGAAAGGUAAAUGAUAGACAAUCAGUAAGUGGACUGGAAGAUACAUGCCAAAGCACCAUGUGGUACUUUGAAGAAAUGAAGUUUCUCAUUGAUCAGGAAUCGCCAGACACGUCGUUCUCUACAAUACCAGAUGAAAAUGGAGAAUACUGCAUCAUGACAGAUUCAGAAACUUCUGAAGCAGAGAUACUCACGAAGAAUCCUCCAACGAAGAAAAGGCAGCCAGCACUGGCUACAAAUGAUUUGCUAGAACUUGCAUGCAAGCGACUGCGGGAACGAGUGUCUGAUGAGGACCACAUCGGCAUAAUGUGGGCUCGUGAACUCCAGAAAAUGGACCCAAUGCAGCAAACCUUUGCAAAGAAGUUUAUCAAUGACAUUUUAUUUGAAGGACUAAUGGGCACACUGCACAGAAACUCUGUGGUUAUAAAUGGCCCAGCAACAUCUUCUGCAAAUAAGUCUCCAAUCACAAAUGUCUCAAGUGCUUCAGCUGCCUCAAGCAGUUCACACAUUCUACAAUAAGGCACCAUUCUACAUUUUGUAAAUGUGGCUGAGUUUUCCUAAUGCCAUUUGGUAUUUGUAUAUUAUUUGUUUACAAUUUUAUCAUUUUAAUGGUGUAAUUAUAAAGUAAUUGCAGUAAACUUCAAUGUAAUGUAUAUAACACACAAGUAAAAUCGUUAUUUGACUGUUCUCACAGAAACAACUUUUGUGCUUUUGUGGCAUAGUGUACUUCCCCACUGGGGUUCAGAACUUUGCUGUUGUGUGCACGUCACUUACUUUGACUUUUUUUCCAAACAGGUGUUAACAGCUUCCCAGGUUUCUAUUACAAUACGGCUGAUAGUAGUGCAUGUGUUGAAUGUUGGAAAUUUGCAGUCUUCAAAAGUGUUUCCAAUUGUCAGGUCAUGGAUGCAUAUCUAGGUGAGUCUCUCUCAGGGACCAAUACAGGAAGAUAAUCAACAAAAAGUGGACAGUUAUUAACCAAUAACGGCAGUGGAAGUGUGAAAACAUCGAGAGCUGACUAAGGCUGUGUUUCUGAAAAAGGGCGACAAUAACAAGUGCUCCCUCACUAACUACAGACAAGGAAAUAGUGUGUAGAAGGCAAUGAACAAUCAAAGGCAUCCUUGCCUGCCACCAUUAGCUUCAAAGUAGAAGACUUAACAACUCCAAGUGGCUCAGUCCGUAAGUGAAAGAGGGUCUCAAUAUCGAGCUCCUCUGGCUGAGUUAAAGAACUGUUGCAUUAGGGAACACAGUGCUCAGUUACAUUGUUUUUCAUGAGCUUGGUAAAUAUAGUGAGAACCCUUGCAUCAUAUGGAUGGGGAAUUAUCAGGAAUGAAGUAUAUAAAACAAGUCAGUAGGCUAGAAAAUGAAGAGGCAGAUCUUACAAAUUACAUAUCAGGAUCCAACCCUUAAUCAUCAUAAUGUAAUUUUUUUAAAACAAGAAGUGACCUCAAUAUGCGAGCUCUGAUUCAUAAACAUGUAAAACCUUUUUCUUUUUUACAUUUCUGAUGUAAUUGUUACAUGCCUGCAUAGGAUUUUCAGUAGCACUUAAAGGUGAUAUAUAUUAUUUUUCAGUGAAAAAAACUGCAAUUUGCCUGCAGUUUGAAGUGAAAAAUGUACUGGGUAGAAUCAGACUGUAGAGUUUAUUUGUACAUUGUCUGGCAUUUGUAAUGCUUAAUGGACUAACACCUUCUGACCCUGUGGCAGUGACAUAAUACUUUUUUGUGAAGUAUAUAUCAAGUAACGUAUUGCAGUUGUUUGUUUAAGUGUGUUACAUAAUCUUGAACUUGCAAAUGUUUGGGAAAACUAGACAGUUAUGAAAUAUAGCAUCACCUAUACUCCAUUGUUUUGAUGUACACUUGGGUGGAUUACUGUACAUAAAAUUGCUUACUGCUGACAGUUUUCAGAUCAUUGAUAAUAACAACUUUUAUUUGUGGACUGAAGAUAGUGUGAGACAUACCUGUGUUACUUUAUAUACCUCCAGUACCACAUAAUGCAUUAUCAGUUUCAGUUUAUUGUGAAAGAGAGAAUGAAAGAUGAAGUAACUAAUAUUUUUAAACACAAACAUUUUGAGCUCAUUUUGACAGGAUUUUGAAUCAAGAAACCACCAUCAUUCUAUGUGCAUAAUAUAACAACCAUGUUCAUUGGUAGAAGGUAAUAACAGUGUGCUAAUCUCACUCACUUGCCCUUUGUGUUGUGUAUGAAACAUUUGCUGCAAGCAUCUGAGAUCAAUAUUUAUGUGGUUUCACUUGUUUUUCUCAGUACAGGUAAGGCAUGUGAAUAUUUAACAGCCAAAUACAAACUUUGAUGAAAGCUUGAAGGGAACUGACUAUGUCUACUACACAGUUGCAGUCUUUUUCAGUUGCUCUUUGCAUUUUGUCUGGAACAGGUGUUGCAAGCAAGAGAUAUCAAUAUGUGUGUGGUUUCACUAGUUAUUCCCAGUACAGGUUAAACACUUGAACAAUCAAAAGCUAAAUAUAAGGUAUAAAGGAAACCUACAAUCUUGAAGGGAAAGAAAUUGAGUAAGAUAUGACUAUUACUCAAAAAUUUGUACAGAAAUGGCAUCAAAACUUACCUUAAAGAAACUUCAUUUUUAUUCAUGGUUUGAUGGUAGCUCAUAAAACUGUUUCCCAUUUUGCAA